AACGAACGCUGGCGGCAUGCCUAACACAUGCAAGUCGAACGAAGGCUUCGGCCUUAGUGGCGCACGGGUUCGUAACGCGUGGGAAUCUGCCCUUAGGUUCGGAAUAACAGUUAGAAAUGACUGCUAAUACCGGCUGAUGACGUAAGUCCAAAGAUUUAUCGCCUGAGGAUGAGCCCGCGUAGGAUUAGCUAGUUGGUGUGGUAAAGGCGCACCAAGGCGACGAUCCUUAGCUGGUCUGAGAGGAUGAUCAGCCACACUGGGACUGAGACACGGCCCAGACUCCUACGGGAGGCAGCGGUGGGGAAUAUUGGACAAUGGGCGCAAGCCUGAUCCAGCAAUGCCGCGUGAGUGAUGAAGGCCUUAGGGUUGUAAAGCUCUUUUACCCGUGAUGAUAAUGACAGUAGCGGGAGAAUAAGCCCCGGCUAACUCCGUG
rnacentral:rRNA from 1 species